rfam:Candidatus Burkholderia verschuerenii strain TZHbot4 BVERctg67, whole genome shotgun sequence.
GGUUCCCUGCCUGGUUCGCCAAGGUCAUAUAUUCCUUGAACCAAUGCUACAUUGGCACGGUUGUGGAACCUUGCAGCACGGGCGCGCGCGUCGCUAGUCCGAUGUACCCGAAGUGCUGCUUACUGCGACCAAUCUUGAACUCAGGUUCAGGAUGCCGGCCUAGCGGCUGUGGCGGGGACCCA